GAUGAACGCUGGCGGCGUGCUUAACACAUGCCAGUCGAACGAAGCAUUUAGGACAGAUUACUUCGGUUUGAAGUUCUUUAUGACUGAGUGGCGGACGGGUGAGUAACGCGUGGGUAACCUGCCUUGUACUGGGGGAUAGCAGCUGGAAACGGCUGGUAAUACCGCAUAAGCGCACAAUGUUGCAUGACAUGGUGUGAAAAACUCCGGUGGUAUAAGAUGGACCCGCGUCUGAUUAGCUAGUUGGUGAGAUAACAGCCCACCAAGGCGAGGAUCAGUAGCCGACCUGAGAGGGUGACCGGCCACAUUGGGACUGAGACACGGCACAGAAUCCUACGGGAGGGAGCAGUGGGGAAUAUUGCAAAAUGGAGGAAACUCUGAUGCAGCGACGCCGGGUGAGUGAAGAAGUAAUUCGUUAUGUAAAGCUCUAUCAGCAGGGAAGAUAGUGACGGUACCUGACUAAGAAGCCCCGGCUAAAUACGUG
rnacentral:rRNA from 1 species